AAAAAAAGUUAUACAACUUUCAACAACGGAUCUCUUGGCUCUCGCAUCGAUGAAGAACGCAGCGAAAUGCGAUAAGUAAUGUGAAUUGCAGAUUUUCAGUGAAUCAUCGAAUCUUUGAACGCACCUUGCGCUCCUUGGUAUUCCGAGGAGCAUGCCUGUUUGAGUGUCAUUAAAUUCUCAAACUCUGAUUGAUUUUGNUUCGGUCAGAGCUUUGGAUUUGGAGCGUGCUGGCGUCAGUCGGCUCCUCUUGAAUGCAUCAGCGGAAUCCCAUUCAUUUCGGACGUCAGUGUGAUAAUCAUGUUGCGCUGUCUCUUGCCGAUCUUGAAAGCCCGCUCACAAUGGUCUUCGGACAAACCUCACAUAUCAAAUUUGACCUCAAAUCAGGUAGGACUACCCGCUGAACUUAAGCAUAUCAAUAAGCGGAGGAAAAGAAACUAACAAGGAUUCCCCUAGUAACUGCGAGUGAAGCGGGAAAAGCUCAAAUUUAAAAUCUGGCGGUCUCGCGGCCGUCCGAGUUGUAAUCUGGAGAAGCGUCUAUCCGYGUCGGACCGUGUACAAGUCUUCUGGAAGGGAGCGUCGUAGAGGGUGAGAAUCCCGUCUUUGACACGGACAACCGAUGCUUUUGUGAUGCGCUCUCGAAGAGUCGAGUUGUUUGGGAAUGCAGCUCAAAAUGGGUGGUAAAUUCCAUCUAAAGCUAAAUAUUGGCGAGAGACCGAUAGCGAACAAGUACCGUGAGGGAAAGA
rnacentral:rRNA from 1 species